AUGGAGUCCCUGUACAGUCAAUUUUUAUUUUAAAAGAUCCAUCUACGUCAUUUAGUUAGUAAAUAGUCCCUGCACCAUUUAUUUUGAGUUGGAGUCCUUAUAUGGACGGAGGUUAACUUGAUCGUUAUAAACGAACAUGCAAUCAAGCUAAAACAAAGCAACAGCCGUAUUUGACACGAGUUAUGUAGUGCAGCAGCAAUGGUGAAAAUGAUAGACAAACUGAUAACCCAUAAGGUGAACGUGGUCUCUCUUCAUGCACUCACGUGCGUACACCAUUUGACCAACCCACGUGGCUUAAAUAGAUCAUGAUAUACUUUAUGGAUGCUUCGUUAAAAAGGAGGUUAGUUAUGUAAUUUUCUUUUUAUUACAAAUAGGUAUGUAAACUUGAAAAGGCCCAUUUUUGACAUAUUCAUGUAAUUUAGUUAUGCAACCAAAGUAGCCACUUAGCAUCAGAAGUGGACCAAUAAUAAAGGCAAAUCAAAAUGAAAAAUUAUAAUGCAAUAAAAUUUGCUUGUAUGGAUAA